rnacentral:misc_RNA from 1 species
ACAGAUGAGGGUGAUUAUAGUAUUAAGCUGCGGAAUUUAAUCAAUUUCUUAAAUGAAGGCGACAAGGUUAAAGUUACACUCCGGUUCCGUGGAAGGGAGAUGGCGCAUCAGGAAUUUGGUAUUAGACUGCUUGAAAGAGUAAGAGAAGAACUUGAGGAGCAUGCCGUUGUUGAGCAGUUUCCUAGAUUGGAAGGACGGCAGAUGGUGAUGGUUCUGGCGCCUAGAAAAAAAGAGGUGAAGGUGGCCAAAUCUGAUAAGUAGCGGGAAGCGGAUACAAAAAACGAAACUGUAACUUAGUAAGUAGCGA